UAGAAUAUUGAUUGCAGUGCCCAUGUCUUUAGUGGAAUUAACUCAUUACUCUGUCAGAAUUCUUUGGAUAAAGCCAAUAUAUAUAGCUUGCUCAUGUGCCCCAACAUGGAAACCAUAACUGAUCUUGUAUUAAUCUUUGGCCUCGCUGAACAUUCUCCGUCAUCGUGAUUUGUUAGAUUUUACAAUUCACUAGCUGUUAUUAUUGUAAUUUUAAUGCAGGCAAUUAUCGCAGGAGCAACUGCCCCACAGUCGAAAUGGGACGAAGAUGGUGUAAAGCUUCGGUCUGCUGUUAUUUCACUGACAGUUCUGUAGGAAUCUGCUCGGCGUCUGAUUUUCCAGGUUCAUAAAUCGAGUGCUUUGGAAAACAAGUCAGAUGGCUUAUUAUGAACAACAUUCUUGAAAGUAUUGCACGAUAGACGUGUAGAGAGACCUAAGAUCAAUGAUAUAUCAGCUUCUCUGACUUACAGGCUUCUUUUUCUUGGGUUUAUAAUCUAAACUCCUGUAACAUGACAAUUCCAGCUGAUACUCUGUCAUGCUAAGAUCUAAACCGCAUACUAGUUAGUUCAUCCUUCCAAGUUAUGUGAUGGUCAUGUCUUGGCAUCUUCAGGGCUCAGAACUCAUGUUUUAUUAUCUUAAUCCUGAUACAAAUUGAAACCUAAGAGUCUAAAUAAGCUACUCUUUUAUGUUUUUCCUAUCUUUCAGCUGUCCUGGCAUUCUUCUUAUCGCUACACUGUGUUGAUGCAGUAGAACCUGUUGCAUAGUGGAUUGAGGAGGCAUUCUAAACAAGCCACGAGCACAGAGAUUCACUUUCAUGCAAUCCAUUAUUUGUUCUGAUGUAAAGGUCAGCUAUC
rnacentral:lncRNA from 1 species